rnacentral:tRNA from 1 species
UUCCUGGUGGCCUAGUGGUUAAGGAUCUGGCAUUGUCACUGCUGUGGCUAGGGUUCAAUCCCUGCCAAAAAA